rnacentral:piRNA from 1 species
UGCUCCAACAACCUCUCGUCUUGUUCCAAC